CCAAGUCAACCAUUCAUUGCAGACCUAAAUAUUUGUAAAAAGGACAGUGCAGCCCAGCUUGGUACCCUCACAGAAGUAACUAAUGACUCAAAGGGAGCAGCAGGACCCCGCUGGAAGUUCCUGCGUAAUUCAAGAACCCCACCUUUUGUGGAAAAUGAGCAGUCUCAACCACCUCAGCCUCUGCAAAUCCAGAUCAGAUGCCUGAGGGGCCUUAAAGACAAGGCUCCUCCAGGCUCUUAUGUCCUCAAAGUGUCCAAGUGUCCCUGCUUGGUCGACUGGGAGGCUGUGUCUUGCGGUGGUGGCAAACGGAGCAACUAAAGACCAGAAAACACUCCGUCAGGCACAAUGGAAACUUUUAUGAUGUGGGGGUGUAUUUCCACGAAAACCUUUAUGUGGUGCUCCCUCAAAAGAAAAAUGUGAGCCCUGGCAUGGCUUUCUUGUUUGAACUCUUUCUUCUUCAUGGAACAUACACUUGCCUGGACCGGGCUGUGGGCUGAGCAGUGUUCCCUUUGUGUAAUAACAACUUUGAUACAGUGGAGGGAAAAUUUAAGUGUCCCCUUCUAUGAGGACAUUAUGACCAGAAACUCAGUAACUUUAGGAAAAUUGAAGAUUUGAUUUGCCUGGACUUGGACCACUGGCUGUGCAAUCUCUAUUUUCAGGUUUGCAAUAUGAUUUUUUAAGUGGCAAGGAAUUAAAAUGUUUUCUAAAGCUGCUUCUUUCUAGCCUUCAGCUUCCUUUCAUGCCAUUGGAAAAUUUAAUAAGUAAAGUAGCUUAGAAUGGUAAAAGUUAUUACAUCUUAAUGCUGAUUUCUGAUAAUGCAGAUUAAAUAGAUAUUUAGAAACAAGGAAUAAAAUUAUAGAAUUAGUGGGAAAUUUAAAGAUCACUUAAUAAAAUCUUCUAUGUUGUGAAUGGACCAGAGCUGCCACCCAAGUCUCAGUUCACAAUCUGUCACUGCUGGGGUGGAGUGUGCAGCUUCAUCUCAUCAACAUGAGGAUGGAGCUCUGGUAAGUUUCCUUAUCAAGGCGGAUCACUUGAUGCCAGGAAUUCAAGACCAGCCUGGCCAACAUGGUGAAACCCAUCUCUACUAAAAAAAAUACAAAAACUAGCCGGGCUUGGUGGCACGCACCUGUAAUCUCAGCUACUUGAAAGGCUGAGGCAGGAGAAUCGCUUGAACCCAGGAGGUGGAGGUUGCAGUGAGCUGAGAUCGCGCCACUGCACUCCAGCCUGAGCAACAGAGCAAGAUCCUAUCUCAAAAAAAAAAAAAAUGUUUACUGAACUUCUAUUGUGCGUUGGGCAUUGCCUCCUCUAGGGAUGCAAAAAGGAUAAGGAUUCCAGCACAUUUGUAGUGCGUUCUUUGUACCCAAAUUUAUUCUUCCCGAUGAUGUUUAUCCAGGUUGUUUGUGUCAUAUAAUGCCAUAAAUUGUUCUUCUUCCCCUUCAUAUUUGAAGUUUUCUUUGUAUCUAUGUAAUGUAUCUGUCUGUCUGUCUACCUAUCUAUCUACUUACCUAACUGACAGAACUAUUAAAUUGGGUGUUCCCAGGAAGCACAUGUAAUUUCGUCCUUAAAAUCAGUAACAGUCUCCCUGUUUCCUAUUUACUUUGAGUAGAAUUACCUGGCAUUUUUUCUUCUUAUCUAAUUCCAUUAUAAUGUUUUGCUGAAAUAUCGUGUUGGGGCAGUGUAGCUAUGCUAUUAAUAAAAUAACAUUUAUGUGAAUAUGUACCUGCCUAUUCAUUCUGGAA